GCAGCAGCUCAAUAACUAUUUUGUUGCAAAAAUUCAAUGCAGACAAAUGGAUGUUGCAGGGAACACUUUGAUGGGCAGCGUGUUGGAUAUGGCUUUUAUGUCUUCCUCGUCUUUGUCUACUAUGUGUUUUAUGUGGUCGAUCACAACUUAUAUCUUUUUUAAUUUUUCGACAAAUGUAAUUUCUUUGAUUAAAAACUCUAAAUUGCACUGGUUAUAUCAACCCCUACCGUUUUCAAGUACAGAGAGAAGCUGAUAUGGGCUUUUGUAGGUUGCCUUCAAGACAAAGGUAUAUCAUCCAAAUAUAAAUAGCAGUGGAAACAUCUGUAUUGAUAUACUGAAGGAAGGGAAGAUUAUUAGAACAUACAAUGGCAGUGGAGGCAUUUUUGAGGUUCUGUUGGAAUAAAGAGGGUGACAAGAUCGCAGCAUGUUUUGCCAAUAAUAUAGUGUUUUGGAUUUCAGAAUGUGAUCGUGGAAACGUCGUGUUGUCCUUGCUGGUACAUCGGAUUCGCAAGGUCAUUGAUGAAGCGCGCUUAUGUAUGGAACUUUGAGAUGCACGUUCAAAGUGAGGAUAUGCAACCAUAGAAACAUAUUUGAGUGAUCAGAAUGCAAUCCAUGAAUGACACUACUAUGCCAAUCAUAGCAAAUGAGCAGAAUGUGGAGAAAUAAAUGGAAUAAUUGACAACUUUCAAUCAUAGCAAAGUUGUACGCCGCACCUUGUUCACAUAUGCUCCCAAACUUGACGUUGUUUGUUUAGUUUGUUGAAAAGGAACAUGAGAGAAUUUAUCAACUGUAAAAUAAAUGAAAAAAUACAAUAUGAUUUCAUGGUUAAAAACAUUGUUAUUGUAUUGUACUUUUUUUUUUUUUUUGAAAGGGAUAUUGUACCUUUCUAUACAUUCAUAGAAUUGGUUUUAAUUA